rnacentral:lncRNA from 1 species
GAGGGUCGGGCGCGGGGUGGGGUACAUUCAGGAGAGGAGAGUUGCUGUGAGGCUCCGGACCUGCAGCUUCCCUGGGAAGGUCUUGUUCUCGCGGGAACUCUUGGAGGACCCCUAGCUAUUGUUGCUGUGGAGGAGCGCUAGGAAGGUGUUCAACUUGGAUGUGGGUUUUCUCCGCUAAUCGAGGCUGCUGCCUGGCACAUCGUGCCCAAACUCCUUCUCUGGUGGAGGUCUUUGUGGGAAUUUCGCCAGACUGACUAAAAUUCAAGAAUGUGAAGCUAGGCCAUCACAUGUUUCCCCAGAUGAUUCCAGAAUUCUGAAGAGGCUUGAGGACCCCUGGCUUCUGUAGCAGUCAAUGGCAUCUUUGAAAGGAAGGAGGCACAAGCAUGGGGUGGGACAUCUACUACGAGGCUGCAGAGCACAAGGACACAGUGGGAGUAGCGCCUCACUGACCCUGGAGGAGCCUGGAGGAGGUGGGGAAGUACCUGGAUUUACGAGGAAGGCGAUGCUGUUCCGCAGGGAUUUCCACCCAAGACAGGCGUGCGGGGCCUCCUGUGGGCUCUCGCCCCUUCGACCGCCAGGGAACGCCAGGAGACAAGACAGUAUGUGCAGGUGUGCUGCAAGCAUUUCGAAGUCAGGAUGGACUGCAGUUGGCAGUGGCCCAGAAAAGCAUCUCUCUUGGACCAGAGAGGGCUAUUCAAAUCCUAGGCCUGUAGCUUACAAGCCCUGUGAUCUAAGGCAUGUUACUUCACCUCUCUGAGCCUCAGUGUCCCAGUUUUUAAAAUGGAAGUCCCCAAAAGUAAACUCCUGGUCAACCAGGGCCCACCAGAAGAGGGCUUCAGCCAAGCUUUUUUGGCCAAAGUUCUGGGUAGGCGUGGACCACAUCGGGGUGAAUUCCUGGGGCAGAGUGGCAAAGAUUGCAACCAGUGAGUGAGUCAGUCACAUCCUGACCCUCAGGAAAGGGAGGUAGGUCUCGGGAAGACCUGAGGAGAAUGCUCAGCACAAGCUUUCCUCCAGGAGAGCACUGAAGGUGCAGAGCUCAUGGGUGGCUACUAAAUGUUUAGUAUGCUGCUUCAAAGCUGGGCCAUGGUGCAAGUAUGGAACCCCAACUACUCAGGAGGCUGAAGCAGGAGGAUCACAAGUUCAAGGCCAGCCUGGGCAAUUUUUCUGAGACCCCGUCUCAACAACUACAAAAGGCUAAGGCUGUUGCUUAAUAGUAGAGUGCCUACUUAGCAUGCCCAAAACCCUGAGUCUAUUCCCCAGUGCCAGAAAAAUACAAAACAAACAAACAACAAGAAAAACUUCUUUAGAAUUGGCACUUCAGGCAGUUUGGGAUUUCUAAUGCAAUGGGAUUCACCCCUUACUUUUGAGAGGGAAAAAACAGACCCAGUUUGGUCUACAUCAUGGUAUCCAGGCCAAAACAUGGCAGAAUUUGGUCUCUUGCUGGGGAAGAGGCUGCAGACCAGGAAAUUCCUCUUUUCGGGCUCCUCCCUGGCACCAGACCAAUAGAGUAUGCGUGAUGUCCACCCCAUGCCCCAGGCCACACAAGUUGCUGUGCCGUCUACAUUCUUUGCCUCCCUCCAUGGCCCUUCUGCCUUUAUAUUCCAUGCUACUCAGUCACAGCUCUGGAGGGGCCACUACCCCAGCCUGGCACCACAGGGCCCAAGGAAGAGCUGACCAUCAGCUUACCAUUCCCCUCAGGGUCAAAAUGCCACCACGAUAUCGUCAAAUCCAAGAGAGGAUCUUGAAAAGAACAAAUAGGGUUAGCUGUAGAUAUGCAAAAGGAAGAAAAAAUUAAGAGAAGUGAGGCCAAUGAGAAAGACUGAGAGAUGUGGGUGUAAGAGGAAGGCAAUGACUUCAUGGAAAAGAAUGGGCUUCCUCGGUUGAGCAGAUUUCUAUCCUCCUGAUGCCUCUCCCUCUGGUAUGGUAUUUACAAUGAAGACAGUACAUCAAAGUGAACUCUGGGGAAACACUUUGCUGUCCAAGUUGACAUUUCAUAUGUGAUAGAUGCUUUCAUAUGUGACAGAUGCAAAAAACCACAAGGCACUGGGGAUUUACCUCAGAGGUGCUGCCACCUGCCUCGAAAGCACAAGGUCCGAGUUCAAUCCCCAGUACCAAAAAAAAGAACCACAAGGCAGAAGGGGUCUCAGAAAGUCAGCCAUGAUAUAGCCUUAGAACAUACAUAACUAUAAUUCAGUUUAAAAAAUAAAACAUCAGCUGGGAAUGGGUGCACAUCUGGAAUUCCAGCUACCUGGGAGGCUGAGGCAGGAGGAUCACAAAUUUGAGGCCAGCCUGGGCAACUUAGCAAGAUCCUGUAUCAAAAUAAAUAAAAGGCAGCUGGGGAUACAGCUUGGUGCUAGACCACCCCUGGGUUCCAUUCCUCAUGCCUCAAAAACAAAAUCUGUAUGUACAUGGCCAUGUGGCCUGUAAGCUGCUGUGGGAUGGACCGGGUUGUUGGUGCAAAGACACCGGUCACAGGGAGUUGGGCAACACCGGCACCAGGCCACUCACUGGCACCAUUGCCCUCCUUCCUAACCACAGAGGAGCCAUAUUUCCUGACCACUGUAGCUCCCUCCUCCUCUCCCUUACCUUUCCAGAGUGUCUGUGUCAGCCCCAAGUGCUCCUGUGCUGGGGACAUCAGCUCUGCUCCACUUGGAGAAGCAAGAGAGAGGAGGAGCCAGGAUGAGGGAUGGCCUGCAGGGUUUAUAAAAUCACGAGAAAUGACAUCUAAUUCUGUUUUAGACCAAAAACAGCAGAAGCUGUCCUUGAGGAAGGACUGGGAGAAAAGCUCUGGAGAGAAGGGGUCCCUUGGUCUGAAAAGUGCAUCUUGCAGCUGGGCAGUGUGGGGUCAGGGCACAGGGAACAUCAUGUGUAACAGACCCCAAGAUCAGGAGAAAUGGAGGCUAGAAGCCAACAACCUUUCCAAGGCCACAUGGUUGGUGAAAGAGGCUGGCCUAAGUUUCCCUGCUCUGGAGCUGUGGCACAUCGCCAUGAGGAGUGGCUCGCUUUACCUCCUGACCCCAGGUAACUAAAUGGCAGCAGUUCCGUUGGCUCUGUGAUUAUGUCCCAAGAUCUGUCUGCUCCCAUCAGCACACGCCCUCUCUCAUCUCUGACUUUAUUGAACAUUUCCUGUGAGCCUCUGCCAAAGACCUGCUUUUUCAGUUACUUUGAUUUUCUUCUAAGAAAAGCAAAAUUUAUGGAAAUCAAACUGGUUUUGACACAAGAGCCAUAACAAAGAUUUCCACUCCCAAGUGAACAUAAAUCACCAGUUCUGACACCAUGCCUUUGACUGAAGGGCAGCAGCUGUGAGGGAACCUACAGGUGUGGCCCCCAAACACCAGCCUGCAGUUCUCACCCCAGUUGGGAGGCCCCUGGGGUGAGCUCAGACCUACAGAGCCAAAACCAGCAUCUCAGGAAUUUUCACUUCUGCUGAGCUUACUCAAUAGCUCUCAGUUUUAGAGUUCCUUUGGUCCAGGUGUUCAUUACAAAAUUAAGAUGAUCAGCUUGAAGUUUCAGUUAAUCUCUGCCAGGGGUAUCAACAUGGUGAGCUGGGGGCCAGAAGGCACAGGAGGGCUCCCUCUGUCCUCAGCAGGAGCAGGGCCUGGUGGUGACACUUGGCAAAGCACUGGGCAGUGCAGGGCUGUGGGUGCUAAGGGAUUCUUGCUGAACGAGUUCUGCAAGUCCUUCGUGGCCAUGUCUGCAGAGAGGACAAAGAGGAGGUGGCUCACCUCACAGUGGCUGGAAGCAGAGACCAAGAGCAGAGAAGAGAAAGGUUUUGUGUGUGUGUGUGUGUGUUGGACCCAGGGGUUUUCCACUGAGCUACAUCUCCAGCUUUUUCUUUUUCUUUUUCACUGUUUCAGACCAGGUCUUGCUAAAUUUCCCAGUCUGGACUCAAACUUGCAAUCCUCCUGCCUCAGCCUCCCAGGAGUGCUAGGAUUAUAGACAUGCACCACCAAACUCAGCCAAAGGUCCUCUUUAAGCAGAAAUAUUUUUAAAGCUUUCCCCUUCCUCCCUUAGCCUUCC